rnacentral:rRNA from 1 species
GAUGAACGCUGGCGGCGUGCCUAAUACAUGCAAGUCGAGCGAACAGACGAGGAGCUUGCUCCUCUGACGUUAGCGGCGAACGGGUGAGUAACACGUGGAUAACCUACCUAUAAGACUGGGAUAACUUCGGGAAACCGGAGCUAAUACCGGAUAACAUGUUGAACCGCAUGGUUCAACAGUGAAAGACGGUCUUGCUGUCACUUAUAGAUGGAUCCGCGCCGCAUUAGCUAGUUGGUAAGGUAACGGCUUACCAAGGCAACGAUGCGUAGCCGACCUGAGAGGGUGAUCGGCCACACUGGAACUGAGACACGGUCCAGACUCCUACGGGAGGCAGCAGUAGGGAAUCUUCCGCAAUGGGCGAAAGCCUGACGGAGCAACGCCGCGUGAGUGAAGAAGGUCUUCGGAUCGUAAAACUCUGUUAUUAGGGAAGAACAAAUGUGUAAGUAACUAUGCACGUCUUGACGGUACCUAAUCAGAAAGCCACGGCUAACUACGUG